ACACAUGCAGUCGACGCGCAGCAUUCUGUAGCAAUACAGGGUGUGGGCGCGUGGCGAACGGGUGCGUAACACGUGGAUAACCUUCCUUCAGGUGGGGAAUAACCCAGUGAAAAUUGGGCUAAUACCGCAUAACAUGACGAUGGCACAUGCUGUUGUCUUCAAAGGCGCAAGUCGCCAGAAGAGGGAUCCGCGGCCGAUUAGCUUGUUGGCGAGGUAAUGGCUCACCAAGGCAUUGAUCGGUAGCCGGACUGAGAGGUUGACCGGCCACACUGGAACUGAGACACGGUCCAGACUCCUACGGGAGGCAGCAGUGGGGAAUCUUGCACAAUGGACGAAAGUCUGAUGCAGCAACGCCGCGUGGGGGAUGAAGCUUCUCGGAGUGUAAACCCCUUUCGACCCGGAAGAAUGCCCGCAAGGGUUUGACGGUACGGGUAUAAGAAGCCCCGGCUAACUACGUGCCAGCAGCCGCGGUAAUACGUAGGGGGCCAGCGUUGCUCGGAAUUACUGGGCGUAAAGGGUCCGUACGCGGUGCGGCAAGUC
rnacentral:rRNA from 1 species